ACGAUAUAUUUACGCAUCAUAAAUUCCUUGACUUUUCUUUUAGGUUUAACGAAAAAUUUUGUUCAAUAUUUCUUUGAUUGCAAACUGAUAAAAAAAAUCAAAAUGUGCAACUUUUUUUCUGGAAAACUUACCGGUCGAUUAGAAUUAGGUCUUUGGGCCAUCGCCAUAAUAGCACUAAGUGUCGUUAUUAUUAUAUAUGUGUCUACCCGUGAAACCUUUGGAGUAUACCACAAAAUCGCAAUUGGGGGAUUCAGCUUUACAAUUCUUGCUGCAAUAUUCCUUCUGUUUGGUGCAAUCUGGAAAAAGGGCUGUCUUGUGUGGACUUGGGUGGUUAUAAUUAUUUUGGUAGUUAUUAUAAUUACUACCGUAUAUAUUAUCAAGUUGUGCAAAGAAUGGGAGUUUACCACAGAGCGGACUAGAGUAUACACCAUAUUCGGUUUAAUAAUUAGUCCAUGUUUCUGUUUGUAUUUGGUUAUCCUAUCAGUGUUAUAUGCAUUGGAAUUGAAAAAAUCAAGAAGUGAAAUGGAAGACCGUAUCGUUAUAUAUUCUCUGUGGUGCUUUUAAUUGAAAUAUCCCAAUGUAUAUAAAUAAAAAGCAAAAUGUGUGGUCAAAACUAUACCAGUCGAUCAGGAUUCGUUAUGUUUGCCGUCGGCAUAAUAAUGUCGGGUGUCACUAUAAUUGCAAUUACAAUACUUACUUACUUACUUUUCAAUACUAUUUUUUUUGCCCAGGUGAAACCUUUAUUGUAUACCAUAAAAUCAUAAUUGCGGCAUGCAGCGUUGCAAUUUAAGCUGCAAUAUUGCUUCUGCUUGGGACAAUCAUGGAAAAACGCAUUCUUAUGUGGACUUGCUUGGCUAUAAUUAUUGCGAUGGUUUUUACAAUUGCUAUCGUAUUUCUUAUCUGGUUGUUUAAAACUCUUGCGGCAGACAAAAAUAUUUCAUUCCAUGCCACGGCCUAUGUUUAUGGUUUUACAUGAUUCUAUAUCUGGUCUGGUUGUCCUAUCAGUGAAAUAUGUAUUGAAAUGGAAAAAAACAAGAAGUGCAUAGAGAAUCGUUUCAGUGCACACUGCUUUUGAAUGAAGUAUUCUAGUGUAUAUUAAAUUAAUUUGUAAUUUGUCUGUGUCCUUUUCAAAACCAUUUUAAA
rnacentral:misc_RNA from 1 species